CUAAGGCCCCAAAGUUAGCAAAUUAUCAAUCGUUACAGAGUCGACCCCUCACCUUUGAGUGCGCGUCCUAACUUGUAGUACAUGGUGUAAAUGGAUUUGUUUUGGGUACCCAGAAAGCAACGAACGUGACCGCAACGUCUUGUUGUCUCUCUUUGACAGUUAUGGGUUAUCCCAGUCAUGUGUUUAUACUUUUAUGUGUAAAUACGUACGACACAGAGACUAGAUACCAAACUAGGCGUACCGCUGUAUCAUUUCUUUAAACCAGAGGAAGGUUGCGGCAAUAACAGGUCUGUGAUGCCCUUAGAUGUUCUGGGCUGCACACGUGCUACAAUGAUCAGCACAGUAAGCAUCUCAAUUUUUACAACACCGUCAACACACGUAGUGAGCUGCUUGAUCUCUCAUUCAUGCAUUCUGUGCUUCGGUGCAGUGUGCAAUGUGAGUUGUCUAAUGCGCGCGGUUAUGCCUGUACCGAGAGGUGACGUCGGGUAAACAUUCUCUAAUGCUGACCUAUUUUUCUGAAAUAUGCACAACUCUAAUAUGACAUUCAUUCCCGGGAGGACUAGUUGCCUCUUUGUGUGAGUGUAAUGCAAACAUGAAUAGCGACUGUCGCUGUUUACUCAUAUGUGCCCCUGUCAAUUCGUGGUGGGGACAGACCAUUGCUAAUUGUUGGUCUCGCUUAUAACUAGGAAUGCCUAGUACGGG
rnacentral:rRNA from 1 species